UAGUGCGCAAUUAUUUCAAUUUGCCUUGCUAACUUCAGUAGUAAGUAGCAGUAGCUAGCCAGCGCAAGUGUGCAGUUUGGCAGAAUGACCAACGCUACCCGAGAAUGUUGUGGACUUUUUGUUGAAGAACCCCUUUCAUUCUCUGAGGUAAAUGGAAAAUGUGCGAAUUAAAACUGAGGGUUGACCUCUGCCUGAGAUCAGUUUCAUGAAGAACGAUGACAAGAUGAAGGAGUUCGUAUUGAUUGGUAUCAAAAGUUAGCUGGUUAACAGGGAGACUUUCAUCAAUCCGCCUGUACAGGCUGGCAAGUCUGAGCCAUGGGCGAAUAAAAAUAAAUAAAUGUAACCUUUAUUUAACUAGGCAAGUCAGUUCAAGAACAUAUUGGGAUUAUUUUGCUAAACGGCUUUAAACAGUUUCUCAUGCAUUGUCAAUGGGGUUUGAAACCAACCCGGAUGUAAUAUAAUUCUGGCCACAUGUUGACUCAGUGGCGCUUCUCCAUGCAAGACUUGGGAGGGGCGCACACUGUAAAUAGGAAUAGGUGCAUCACCGGCACUGGUCUAGCAAGCUAAAGUUAGCUAGUUAGUCACAGAAAUGUACGUUCAACCUGUUAAUUAUUUCUGUCCAAUUUGACUUAUCUUACGAAGUCAACAUGGCUUAAUAUAGUUUCUUUCGUUUUUUGACCUCGACAUUGUUGCUGGAUAGAUACUUGCAUAUAUUAGCUGCUAGCUAAUGCUAACGACGCUAGCUAACCUCAUAUCUGGAUGCCUCACGCGAGUUCCCGAGAGAGCAGCAUACUAACCCAUGUCCUGAGCAGGAAAGACCAGGAAAAGUGUUGGCUUAAGGUACAACUUCCGAUUGAGGAAAUGUAAGACAACUCAAUGUCAUAUUUGGAGUUACUGACAUGAAUAGAAGCAUAUACAAGCAAUCUAUCAAAUGUAUUUUAUAAAGCCCCUUUUAAAUCAGCAGUUGUCACAACGUGCUUAUACAGAUUCCCAGCCUAAAACCCCAAAGAGCAAGUAGUGCAGAUGUAGAAGCACAGUGGCUAGGAAAAACUCCCCAGAAAGGCAGGAACUGAGAGGCACCAGGCGCUGAGGGGUGGCCAGUCCCCUUCUGGCUGUGCUGGUGGAGAUUAUAAACGAGUACAGCCAUUUGGCCAGAUUAUUCUUCAAGACGUUUAAAUGUUCAUAGAUGAGCAGCAGUGUCAAAUAAGAGGUUUAUAGAGGGUGCAAUAGUUCAGCACCUCAGGAGUAAACGUCAGUUGCCUCUUCAUAGAUGAGCAUUUAGAGGUUGAGACAGUAGGUCUGGUAGAGAGAGACAGGAUCAAACAGCGGGUUUGGGACAAGUUAGUACCUCUGGUGGGCCUUGAGCAGGUCAGGAUUCCAUAUCUGCAGAUAGAAACAGCAGAGACUGGAUCAGCAGCCCGACUAGGUGGACUGAAGACAGGGAAAGCCAGGAGUCGUCAGGCCAGAUCUGUCAACUUGCUCGGUGGGUAGCAGGUAACCGUCCUUCCACCAAGCUGUUCCAGGCCUGGGCUGGCAGGCUGGAACUUCCAGAGGCGUGUAGACCUGAAGCGGUGUGAUGUGGUCCAGAUCUACCACCCCCAGCAGUUCAGCUGCAGUCAGCUGCUGUGGUAUUUAAUUUACCAGCUGCACCACACUGGCCAUGAAGGGAGAAACUUUUGAGGAUACCCAGAUGGAUACAGAUCUUCCAUGCCUGACAGCCUCACCCAGAAGUGCAUACACUGGGCCUAGCAAGACUGACAAAGCAAAAUAAAACAUGCACUCACACACAUUAUCCACAAUGUAAACAAGUUGUAAUUACAUGUUUAUUUAAUGUUUUCUCCAUUUUAUUUUAGGAUUGGAGAUAUCUACUCCUUCAUAGCCAUUCUCAAUAUCUACAUAAGUACUCUAAAUAUCUAUCAAAUCAAAGUGUGAUUGAUAAUAUUGUAAAAGACUAUGGCUUAAUGUUUACAGUUUGAGGAAAUUCUGUGUGUUGAAAAACAUGUCUUACUCUCACACACAAGACCCAAUGUAAACAAGUUAUUACAAUUUAUAUACUACAUUUUAUUUGAGGAAAAUAUCUGAAAUAAAGUACAUUCACUGUUAAA